rnacentral:rRNA from 1 species
CACCAGCGCCACGAGUGGCUAUCGCGAUUAUUGGGCCUAAAGCGUCCGUAGUCGGUUCUGUGCAUCCUCUGUGAAAUCGCAGCGCUCAACGUUGCGGCAUGCGGGGGACACGGCAGAACUUGAGACCGGGAGGCGUGUAGGGUAUUCCACGGGGACCGGUAAAAUGGUAUAAUCCGUGGAGGACCACCUGUGGCGAAGGCGCUACACGAGAACGGAUCUGACGAUGAGGGACGAAAGCCAGGGGAGCAAA